AUGGAUUAGCGGCGAACGGGUGAGGAACACGUGAAGAAUCUGCCCUCCACUUUGGGAUAACACCGGGAAACCGGUGCUAAUACCGAAUAUUGAAACAUAAGUGGCAUCACUGAGUUUUUAAAGAAUUUCGGUGGAGGAUGACUUCGCGGCCUAUCAGCUAGUUGGUGAGGUAAUGGCUCACCAAGGCAACGACGGGUAGCCGGCCUGAGAGGGCGACCGGCCACACUGGGACUGAGACACGGCCCAGACUCCUACGGGAGGCAGCAGUGGGGAAUAUUGGGCAAUGGAGGAAACUCUGACCCAGCGACGCCGCGUGCGGGAUGAAGGCCUUCGGGUUGUAAACCGCUUUCAGUAGGGAAGAAGCGAAAGUGACGGUACCUACAAAAGAAGCACCGGCUAACUAUGUGCCAGCAGCCGCGGUAAUACAUAGGGUGCAAGCGUUGUCCGGAAUUAUUGGGCGUAAAGAGCUCGUAGGUCGUUUGCCACGUCGGAUGUGAAAACCU
rnacentral:rRNA from 1 species